rnacentral:precursor_RNA from 8 species
CUUGGCGGAUACUCUAUUCUGGUUUGGGAACGAGGUUGUCCUGGGGCUCAGUAUGUGGGUCCAUAUCAUCAUACUGGCCAGCACAAUCCCGUUCUCAGGCUAUGACCAAACUCCAUCAGGAAG